rnacentral:rRNA from 1 species
AACGAACGCUGGCGGCAUGCCUAACACAUGCAAGUCGAACGAGAUCUUCGGGUCUAGUGGCGCACGGGUGCGUAACGCGUGGGAAUCUGCCCUUUGGUUCGGAGUCACAGUUGGAAACGACUGCUAAUACCGGAUGAUGACGAAAGUCCAAAGAUUUAUCGCCAGAGGAUGAGCCCGCGUAGGAUUAGCUAGGUGGGGUGGUAAAGGCGCACCAAGGCGACGAUCCUUAGCUGGUCUGAGAGGAUGAUCAGCCACACUGGGACUGAGACACGGCCCAGACUCCUACGGGAGGCAGCAGUGGGGAAUAUUGGACAAUGGGCGAAAGCCUGAUCCAGCAAUGCCGCGUGAGUGAUGAAGGCCUUAGGGUUGUAAAGCUCUUUUACCCGGGAUGAUAAUGACAGUACCGGGAGAAUAAGCUCCGGCUAACUCCGUGCCAGCCGCCGCGGUAA